rnacentral:lncRNA from 1 species
GAAGUAUUGAUAAUGAAUAUCACAUCACUGAAGAAAUAGCUGCUUUGUUGCCAUCGAGAGACACAACCAAAUCUCUCCAUUUGUAUUAUGAAGCAGUAAAAAUGACAUGAGAACAGUUUUCUUUAACCCCUGUCAACAUAUCUGGCGCAGCUACUGAUGGUGCCCAGUGAUGGCUGGUGAAAGAGGGACUUAUAAAAUUAAUAGAAGAUGACACCAGUGCCGCCAGCAACUCACAUCUGAUGGUUAUCACCAAACAUCAAGAGGAAAUGUAUGUGCCAAAAAGCUUUAAACAUGGAUAACAUUGCGCAAAUUGUCAUCAAAGCUGUGAAUUUCAUUAAGUCCAAGGGACUGAAUCAUCACCAGUUCCAGGAGUCCCUUAAAAGUACGGAUGCAGAUAGUGGGGACAUCAUUUGCUCUUCCGAAGGAAGGUGGCUGAGAGGGGGUAAAACGCUCCAAAGGUUUUAUGGUCUGUGAGAUGAAAUCACAGCAUUUAUGGAAUCAAAAGGAAAAAUUGCACGAGAAGUUGAAAAUGAAGCAUUUUUGGUGGGUUUGACCGCUCAUUUAAAUGAGUUGCAUAUGCGUCUUCAAGGUGAAAAGCAGUUUAUCAGUGCUGUUUCAAAUCACAGCAGCGUUCAGAAUGAAGCUUAAAUUACCGCAAGCUCAAGCAACAGCAAAUAACGUAAUGCAUUUUGAAAGGCUGGCUAAACACGGUCCUGCAAACGGCAAAAAAAAAAAAAAAAAGCGUCUUGCUUUCCCUUCUGAUAAAGGAAUUUGAGGAUAAACUUCAGGACCUUUGACAAAAAAAACCACCAAUUUUUUGGUACCCCUGCGACUGUUUUCAAAUGACGUAAAGGCGCUGCCUGCGGUUGUCCAAACGGAACGUAGGGCACAGCGACCAGACGCGCAACUCAGGAACAACAUCACGCAACUCGAUGCCUCGGCGCUGCCCCCCGGCAGUGCCCCCGCCACGGCGGCGGGACGGAUUGCCGCCUGCGAUUCGGUGCGGAGCAGCGCCGCCGCGAAAAGACCUCGUCCCGGAGAGACGCGCACCCGUACCUACUUUUUAUUUUAAGAUACGCCCCCCAUUGUUUGGAAUACCGGCCAUUCACUCCUGCAAGAGAAAAAACCAACUUCUGAAGAACUAA